rnacentral:rRNA from 1 species
ACAGAGGUCCCAAGCGUUGUUCGGAUUCACUGGGCGUAAAGGGUGCGUAGGUGGCAAGGUAAGUUCGAUGUGAAAUCCCCGGGCUCAACCCGGGAACUGCAUUGAAAACUAUCUAGCUCGAGGAUCGGAGGGGAGACUGGAAUUCUUGGUGUAGCAGUGAAAUGCGUAGAUAUCAAGAGGAACACCAGUGGCGAAGGCGAGUCUCUGGACGAAUCCUGACACUGAGGCACGAAAGCUAGGGGAGCAAACAGG